CGGACGGGUGAGUAACACGUGGGUAACCUACCUAUAAGACUGGGACAACUUCGGGAAACCGGAGCUAAUGCCGGAUAAGAUAUCGAACCGCAUGGUUCGAUAGUGAAAGAUGGUUUUGCUAUCACUUAUAGAUGGACCCGCGCCGUAUUAGCUAGUUGGUGAGGUAACGGCUCACCAAGGCAACGAUACGUAGCCGACCUGAGAGGGUGAUCGGCCACACUGGAACUGAGACACGGUCCAGACUCCUACGGGAGGCAGCAGAC
rnacentral:rRNA from 1 species